rnacentral:rRNA from 1 species
AUGGGCUCUGUUUCCGUUGCUUGGCAGAAGACCACUUCGUCGCCGACUGUCGUGGGCCUGUCACCUGCCUGGGCUGCAGCCGUUCUGGGCAUCGCGAGCGUGGCUGUCCGGACCGCCUCCUUGCCAGCCACGGUCAUCUCCGCAGCGCCCUGUUGCCGCCGGCUGCUCCUCGCCUCCCCAAGCACCCGCCCCAACUCCUUCACCGAGGUUGCAGAAAUGCUCGUGGGCCUCUAUUGUUGCCGCUUCGACUGGGCUCAUUCAAGGGUACCCUUGUAG